rnacentral:rRNA from 1 species
CCCUAAAUCCUGAUACUUACCCCACCUAAGUAUCCGCCCGAGAACUACGAGCACAAACGCUUAAAACUCUAAGGACUUGGCGGUGCCCUAAACCCACCUAGAGGAGCCUGUUCUAUAAUCGAUAACCCACGAUACACCCGACCAUCUCUUGCCCAUGCAGCCUACAUACCGCCGUCCCCAGCCCGCCUUAAGUGAAAGAACAGCAGGCAUAAUAGCUACCCGCUAACAAGACAGGUCAAGGUAUAGCAUAUGGGAUGGAAGAAAUGGGCUACAUUUUCUAAUCUAGAACAACCACGGAAGAGGGCAUGAAACACCCUCCGAAGGCGGAUUUAGCAGUAAAGUAGGAUCAGAAAGCCCAC